ACUGCACUCCAGCCUGAGCAACAGAGCAAGACUGUCUCCAAAAAAAAAAAAAAAAAAAGUAUAUUUUCUAGCUGUUUGGCUUUAGCUUAAAUUACACAAGUGGAAAGAAAUAUAAUGUUGCCUCUGUGUCUUUUCCAUGUUUUUCUCCCACUCGAAUGUGGGGUGUCUCUCCCCCAUCCCACCUGGAGGUCUUUUGUAUGGAAGGAACCAGCCGGUCUAGGUGGCUCCUGGGACACCCCAGGUCCAAGCUCUGGUUGGCCGCUCCCUGGGCUGGAACAGUGACGUAUUGUUGCCCCCUGGUGGCCACGGAGCACCAUAACGGGCAGGAAAACAAGAGAAAUUCUUGCUCUUGCCAAGACAGACAUGGGGAAUUUCGAAGGCCCGCCUUCUGAACGUCACCUCGUCCCCUCUUCCUUGGUCCAGUGAGAAGUCCAGAUGCUUCCCUUGGGGAUGCCCAGAACACAGCCUGGGAUGAUGAGGAGAGGCGGGAGAGCUUCCUAGGAGAUGCUAAUCAGGGCAUGUGCAAACUCCAUCUUCAUUCAUUAACAAACUAAUCCGUGGCCCGGCCUGGUGACUCAUGCUUGUAAUCCCAGCACUUUGGGAGGCCGAGGGCCCUGGAGCACCACCGUCCCUCCCCUAGGCCCAGGAUGUGAUUCUGAAUCUACAGUCAGACUGGACCACCUCUCCCCCAUGCCCCCAGAAUGUCCACAGGGGCUCCCUCGCCUACAAUAGAUGGAUUAGAUUCCUCCCUACUCUUCCCACACUGUCAGAGUCUGACUGGUGUGAAGUUCCGGUGUUUUUGUGUGUAUUUUACUACCAGGGUCGGCUAGAUAAGGAGGAGCUUUCAUUACAUCCUGGAAGUCUGUCCCCCGCACACACGCACAGCCGUCCUCCCUUCCCCCAACAUCUGAUCUAAUUCUCUCUCUGCUUUGCUGAGGCUGGCCUGGCCUAAGAGGAUUAGAGCAUUUGCUAAACGGGACCAGGACAGGCAGGGUCAGAGAACCCGCUGUGGGGAGACCCAGGGCCAGGAUGGCCACUAGGGGGCGGCAGAGGAAGCGAGACGCGGAGAGGGGUGUGGAGUGCUGAGGAGAGGCACUCGUCGGCUUAGCAGCAAUCAAUGUCCACAAAGUAACCAUGAAGUUUUAUUCAUUUUUAAAUUUACAAUGUCCAGCUAAGUUAUGAGAAUUCAAAAGAAUUGAACUAGGUUCCUGGAAACAAAAUAAACAGAUCAACUGAAUUCUAUGUGCAAGACAAACAUUUUUUUAAAAUAAGAAAUUUAAAAUACCAUGUAAAAUAUCAGACAAUAAUAAAAAUGAAGUGCAAGAAAUAAAUCUACAGAAAGAUGCAUGCAAGAGCUCUGUGAUUAAAUAAUAACAUUUCAGCCAGGCACGGUGGCUCGCGCCUGUAA
rnacentral:lncRNA from 1 species